rnacentral:tRNA from 1 species
UGGCUUAGAUGGUAAAGAAUCUACCUGUAAUGUAGGAUACUCAGGUUCAAUCCCUGA